rnacentral:rRNA from 1 species
UGCCCACUGAUUAAUUAAUUGAAGGGCUGCAGUAUAUUGACUGUACAAAGGUAGCAUAAUCAUUAGUCAUUUAAUUGAUGACUUGUAUGAAAGAUUGGAUGAAAUAUAAGCUGUCUCUAAUUUAAUUAUAAAAUUUAAUUUUUUUAUUAAAAAGUUAAAAUAAUUUAAAAAGACGAGAAGACCCUAUAGAGUUUAAUAAAUAAUUAAAUUGAAGUUAUUUUUGAAUUUAAAUUUAAAAUUUAAUUAUUUAUUUUGUUGGGGUGAUAGAAAAAUAUAUAAAACUUUUUUUUUAUAGAUAUAAACAUUUAUAAGUGAUUAAAUGAUCCAGUAUUAUUGAUUAUAAGAAAAAAUUACCUUAGGGAUAACAGCGUAAUUUUUUUUUUUAGCUCAAAUAAGAAAAAGAGUUUGCGACCUCGAUGUUGGAUUAAGAUAAAAUUUAAAUGCAGAAGUU